GAGCUGGAGCUGGACGAGGAUGAAGAAGAGGAGGAGGAUGGUGACAACUUGCUCAAGUCCAGCUCAGAGUCUGAAUCAUCCUCGUCCUCCAGUUUCACUGGUGGGACACUCCGGGACAGAGGAGCUGUAUCUGAAGAGCCUACGCGUACUUCAUAGUCUUGUGAGACUCUACCAUCUCACCAUCACCAGCAGCUGGGGGAAGGCGGCACACUUGUCGACACAUGGCCACAAAACCAUGGAAGUACUUGGUAAGGCUUUCAUCUGUUUUUUUGUCCAGGCGAGCAAAAGUGCGGAAGCGAUCCCAGUGAAACUGCAUGUUGUCAGGGUCAUACUCCACACCAAAGGUAGAUACUACUCGGUAGAAAUCAGUUUGCUCACGC
rnacentral:lncRNA from 1 species